GAUGAACGCUGGCGGCGUGCCUAAUACAUGCAAGUCGAGCGAACAGACGAGGAGCUUGCUCCUCUGACGUUAGCGGCGGACGGGUGAGUAACACGUGGAUAACCUACCUAUAAGACUGGGAUAACUUCGGGAAACCGGAGCUAAUACCAGAUAAUAUAUUUAACCGCAUGGUUCAAUAGUGAAAGACGGUUUUGCUGUCACUUAUAGAUGGAUCCGCGCCGCAUUAGCUAGUUGGUAAGGUAACGGCUUACCAAGGCAACGAUGCGUAGCCGACCUGAGAGGGUGAUCGGCCACACUGGAACUGAGACACGGUCCAGACUCCUACGGGAGGCAGCAGUAGGGAAUCUUCCGCAAUAGGCGAAAGCCUGACGGAGCAACGCCGCGUGAGUGAUGAAGGUCUUCGGAUCGUAAAACUCUGUUAUUAGGGAAGAACAAAUGUGUAAGUAACUAUGCACGUCUUGACGGUACCUAAUCAGAAAGCCACGGCUAACUACGUG
rnacentral:rRNA from 1 species